AAUUUUGGACAAUGGGGGAAACCCUGAUCCAGCCAUCCCGCGUGUAUGAUGAAGGCCUUCGGGUCGUAAAGCCCUGUCGGAGGGGAAGAAGGACUGUCGUGCGAAUAGUUCGAUGGUCUGACGGUACCCUUAGAGGAAGCACCGGCUAACUCCGUGCCAGCAGCCGCGGUAAUACGGAGGGUGCAAGCGUUGCUCGGAAUUACUGGGCGUAAAGGGCGUGUAGGCGGUUUCGUAUGUCUGGCGUGAAAGCCCCGGGCUCACCCCGGGAAGUGCGCUGGAAACUGCGAGACUAGAGUCCCGGAGAGGGAGGUGGAAUUCCAGGUGUAGCGGUGAAAUGCGUAGAUAUCUGGAAGAACACCGGUGGCGAAGGCGGCCUCCUGGACGGUGGCUGACGCUGAGACGCGAAAGCGUGGGGAGCAAACAGG
rnacentral:rRNA from 1 species